rnacentral:tRNA from 1 species
GCCGGUUUAGCUCAGUUGGUAGAGCGGCUGAUUUGUAAUCAGUAGGUCGGGAGUUCGAGUCUCUCAACCGGCACCA